rnacentral:lncRNA from 1 species
AUGUUUACUGGCUGUGUACAUUACACCAACAGGCUGUGAUAUUAUGUAUAUGUCAUGUCUUAAUUAUUCAUACAUAAUUAUAGUAUCAUUCAUAAUGAUAUCACAAAAAUCAUCCUUUAUUAUAAACUUGAAACUAAAUUGGGCCAAAAGGCCUACAGAUAUGACAUUCAUAAAAAAAGAAGGACAAUAAUGAUAAUCAUUUAACAUGACACUAC